CGCUCCUCACGCAACCCGCUGCAAGUACCCAUGCACGACCACACUGUACAAACUACAGUGCUGGCGGCUCCCUUCCAUUCGCCGUAGGGUACUCAUGGCCUGCGCUGACCGGAACAGAGGGAAGACUCGCCCAUCCUCGGGCCCCGCGCGCCCUCGGGUCCCGCGCGCCCGGCAGCGGGGAUGUGACGCCCUCUCUCCAGAAGCCAUCAUCAGGACGGUGGCAUCCGCCGUCCUCCCCAACGGACACCGAAGUGACGACGAAACACCUUCAUCAUUACCCGACGCCUACGAACACCAAAGGGGCUAUCUAUAGGGCGCGACGACAGUUGGCACACGGCCGCCCCCCUCCUCCAGCGUGCACGCCGGCGCUCGUCAGGGGCCGGCGAAGGCGCCGGACGUCUAGGAACUUGUUCCCCCCUUCCUGCCGUAUUUUUAUCGUACUACGUUUACACUCUUACUGUCCUCAUCGACCGGUCUCAGCUGUAACUCCGGCCGCCCCCCUUAUGAUAUAAAAGGGGGCACCAAGGGCCGGAGAAGGGGAUCGGCUUUCUUCUCCCACAAGCCACAGCACACCACUACGCUCCCUAAGAGCACAAGUACAAAGAGACUUGGGACCAGUCCCUCUCUCGUCGAUCUGUAACCCCUACUACAGAACCCCGCGUGGGCAAUACGAGCAUCCUCGAUACUGGACGUAGGGCUUCCCUUGCCCGAACCAGUCUAAACCCGUGUCUCCCACGCCACCAUCUGAAGCCUUACGCGCAUAAAAGAAAUUUACUAGUCUAAGUCUUGAUCCGCCAAUCUUGACAACGACAGUUGGCGCGCCAGGUAGGGGCCCUUUGCGCGUACAUUUCCAGCCUUAGAUGGCCAAUUACGAUAGCAGCUUCGCUCCGGCCUCCCUGUUCCGUUUCGGGAGCCUGGACUUCCUCGCCACCGGGGAAGGGAUCGAGCUGAUCCCUAUCCUCGUCUUGCCCGCUCGUCCUGCUGUCCUCGGCCCCGCCGCCAGGACAGCAGCGAGCGGCCGGUCGCAUACCAGGAGGCCCUCACCAGAAGGAUGGCCCUUCGGGUUACGCAACGCCACGAGGGCUUACGGCCACCUCCUAGCGCGGUCCAUGACCGCGCUGCCCGCGAGCAACAAGCUCGCAGGCACGGCGAGGACAAUCUCCGACACUGGCUCCAGCAGCGGGAGCCCCCACCCCUCGCGAGAGUGUCUCAUGGCCGAUGUGCACUCCGAGGGGUCCAACGGCAGUGGCGCCGAGGGGAGACAGAGGACUCCCCCCUCGCGCGCCGCGGCUACAACCAGAGCCUUACCAAGGGCACCGGAGGGCUCUCAGCAGCCAGAGGCGUGCGUAGGCGCCCGCCAAGAAGUCGAGCAUUCCCACCACGAGGGCGGGGCACGACAACGGGCGUGCGACGUCCAGCAGCACAUUUGCACUGACGAAGAGCAUCCACAGCUCUUUGCCCGCGCCAGCCAAAACGUCGCAGCCGCGGCGGUUUUGCUCUGGCAACUCCCCGAACCGGCGACGCCCGAGGAGCGACGGGCACGCCAAGAGAUGCGCAACCUGCUCGAAUGCGCCGCCGUCCAGCAAGCGGAAAGUUUCGCGUUCCGGCGACGCGGGCAGAAUGCCAGCAGGGCGACACCCGACGCGCCCUCGGAAAGGCGGGGGGAGUCUGUCCAUCAACCCCCUCCUAGGGCAAAUCAGGCCGCGUCCGCCCGACGGACGCCACUACCCACGGGAGGUGAGGCUCGAUCCGUCCACCAGCGUGUCGGCCCCGUCCGCGACGCCCGCGACACCCUGAACGCGCGGAGGCGCUCCCGCGCGGACAGGGAGGACGGGGUAGAUCGAGGCUACCACGUUCACCGUGGCGGGCGCUACGACAGCGGGGAAGACCGCAGCCCGAGCCCCGGCCCGGCUGGGCCCCGGGCCUUCUCCGCGCGCAUCCUGAAUGCGCCUUUUCCGCCGUGUUUCAGGCAACCCACAAAUAUAGCCAGAUACUCAGGGGAGACGAAUUCUGGGGUAUGGCUCAGCGACUACCGGCUUGCAUGUCAAACCGGCGGGGCGGAUGAUGACCUGUUUAUCAUCCGCAACCUACCCCUCUUCCUAGCCGACUCAACGCGAGCUUGGCUGGAACAUAUCCCUUCGGGACGAGUUCGCAGCUGGAACGACCUGAAGGAGGUUUUCAUAGGGAACUUCCAAGGCACGUACACGCGCCCCGGCAAUUCCUAGGACCUCCGGAGCUGUCGCCAGGGGGCAGAUGAGUCCCUCCGGGAUUAUAUCCGGCGCUUCUCUAGGAAGCGCACCGAGCUCUCCAACGUCGCGGACGCCGACGUUAUAGGGGAUUUCCUAGCGGGAACCUCUUGCCGGCCCCUCGUCCACGAGCUGGGGCGCCGAGGCCCGCGAACUACGGAGGAGCUCCUCAACAUCGCCACCAGUUACGCCUCGGGCGAAGAGGCUGUUGGAGCGAUCUUCGACCGCUCCAAAGGCAAGGCGAAGCGGGAGGAGGAUGCUGACGAGGGCACCUCCAACCGCCAGCAGAAGAAGAAGGGCAAACAGCGGCGCGAGGCCCCCCUCGUGGCCGCUGUCGAGCGCAAGCGAGGGCAGCCGCCCCCCGAGGGCACUCCCGGCUUCUUCGACAAACUACUCCAGGGACCGUGCCUGAACCACGAGUUCCCCGCGAAGCAUGCCUACAAGGACUGCAACCUCAUGAAGAGGUACUUCGUGGGCAAUCCGGUGAAAGGCGAUCGGAAGCGGAAGCCCGAUGAGGAAAAGAAGGACGACGAAGAGAAGGAAGACGGCUUUCCCAAGGUGGACGGUUGCUUCAUGAUCUUUGGCGGCUCCGCAGCGUACGACACCAAGCGCCAGCAGAAGCUGGAACGCCGGGAGGUCUACACGGCCGAGCCAGCGACUCCGGCCUUCCUGGACUGGUCGGGACCGGCCAUCACCUUCGACCGGUCCGACCACCCUGGACGCAUCCGGCAUCCGGGACGCUACCCCGUCGUCGUCGACCCCAUCGUCGGCACAACGCGCCUCACCAAGGUGCUCAUGGAUGGGGGCAACGGCCUCAACAUCCUCUACGCCGAGACCCUCGACGCUAUGGGGAUCGACCGUUCCCGCCUCUGUCCCAGCAAGGCACCUUUCCAUGGUGUCGUGCCAGGGAAGCAGGCAAUGCCUCUCGGGCAAAUCGACUUGCCCGUUACGUUCGGGACCCCUUCCAACUACAGGAAGGUGGUCCUCACCUUCGCGGUGGUAGGGUUCCGCGGAACCUACCACGCCAUCUUGGGACGGCCAUGCUACGCAAAGUUCAUGGCUAUCCCCACCUACACCUACCUCAAGCUCAAGCUGCCGGGGCCUAACGGGGUCAUCAUCGUCGGCACGACCUUUCAGAAGGCGUAUGAGUGCGAUGUAGAGUGCUGCGAGUACGCCGCGGCCAUCACCGUCACAAGCGACUCGACAGUCCAGCUCGCGAAAGCCACCGAGGGCCGGCCCGACUCCAAGCAGCCGAACACCUCCUUCGAGCCCACCGAAGGCAUCAAGGAGGUCCCCCUCGAUCCCAGCUGUUCCAACGGAGGAGUCGUGCGGAUCAGUGCGGCCUUGUCCCCCAAAUAGGAAAGCGCGCUCGUCGACUUCCUCCGCGCGAAUAGCGACGUCUUCGCGUGGAAGCCCUCGGACAUGCCUGGCAUCCCGAAAGAAGUCGCCGAGCAUUCCUUGAACAUCAAGGACGGCUCCAAGCCAGUAAAGCAGGGAUUGCGCCAUUUUGACGAAGAAAGGUGCAAGGCCAUCGGCGAAGAGCUCCAGAAGCUUCUGACGGCCGGGUUCAUCAAGGAAGUGCACCACCCCGAGUGGCUGGCUAAUCCUGUCCUUGUACCAAAAAAGAACGGGAAAUGGAGGAUGUGUGUUGAUUAUACCGGUCUCAACAAAGCGUGUCCAAAGGAUCCGUUUCCUUUGCCACGCAUAGAUCAAAUAGUCGACUUGACCGCCGGGUGCGAAACCCUCAGCUUCCUUGACGCAUAUUCCGGCUACCAUCAGAUCGCGAUGAAAGAGACCGACCAGCUCGCCACCUCCUUCAUCACCCCCUUUGGCCCCUACUGCUACGUCAAGAUGCCUUUCGGCCUCAAAAACGCGGGGGCUACUUUCCAGCAAUGCAUGCUAAAGUGCUUCGGGGACCUCAUCGGGCGGACCGUUGAGGCUUACGUUGAUGACAUCGUAGUCAAAUCCAGGAGGGGCGAUCAGCUCGUCCCCGACCUUGAACUAGCCUUCGAAAGGCUGAGGGAUAAGCGUAUAAAGCUCAAUCCCGAAAAAUGUGUGUUCGGAGUCCCAAGGGGCAUGCUAUUAGGCUUCAUCAUCUCCGUACGCGGCAUCGAAGCGAACCCGGAGAAGAUAGCGGCCAUCAGCGACAUGGGGCCAAUCCGGAACAUAAAGGAAGUCCAGCGUGUCACGGGAUGCUUGGCGGCUCUAAGCCACUUCAUCUCCCGCCUCGGUGAGCGAGGGCUUCCUCUCUAUCGACUCCUGAAAAAGAUUGACCGCUUCGAAUGGAUCGGCGAGGCCCAGGAGGCACUUGACCGACUCAAGGACCUCCUGACGAAGGCCCCGAUCCUAGUCCCGCCUACCAACGGUGAACCCCUCCUGCUCUACAUCGCGGCGACCACCCAGGUGGUUAGCGCGGCCCUGGUGGUGGAGCGAGAAGAGGAAGGACACGCUCUCAAGGUACAACGCCUGGUGUAUUUCAUCAGCGAGGUCUUGUCCGAGUCCAAGACACGUUACCCACAGAUCCAGAAGCUCAUCUACGCCGUCCUUAUCACGAAGAGGAAGCUGCGCCACUACUUCACCUCCCACCCGGUAACGGUUGUUUCGUCAUUCCCGUUAGGCGAAGUAAUCCGGAACCAGAACGCCACGGGGAGGAUCGCAAAGUGGGCGCUUGAGCUCAUGGACCAGGGUAUCACCUACAUCCCCCGCACCGCCAUCAAGUCCCAGGUACUCGCCGACUUCGUGGCAGAGUGGACGGAGAUUCAAGCGCCAUCAGUGCCGGAGAAGCAGGAGUAGUGGACAAUGUACUUUGACGGGUCACUGAUGAGGGCCCGCGCCGGAGCGGGCCUCGUCUUCGUCUCUCCUCUGGGCAUGCGCAUCAGGUACAUGAUCCGCCUCCAUUUUCCUGCGUCCAAUAAUGUCGCCGAGUACGAAGCCCUCCUCAACGGGCUCCGCAUCGCCAUCGAGCUGGGCAUCCGUCGGCUGGAUAUCCGGGGCGACUCCCAGCUAGUCGUCGAACAAGUCAUGAAGGAGUGGAGCUGCCACGACCCCAAGAUGGUAGCCUACUGCAAUGAGGUUCGUAAGCUCGAAGACAAGUUCGACGGGCUAGAACUCAACCACGUCGCAAGGCGCUUCAACGAAGCCGCCGACGAGCUGGCGAAGGCGGCAUCCGACCGAAUGCCCGUCCCCGAUGGUGUCUUCGUUAGCGACCAGUUGAAGCCUUCAAUCCGUUACCCAGAACUAGCAGGGGUCGGCGAAGCACCCCCGGCCCUAGGGUUGGGCCCCGACUCAGGGGAGGUCAGCGGCACGCCUCCUAUCCCAGGCCCGAGCGCCAGUCCGGAGGGGGUUGACACCGCUUUGCCCGACUCGGCCCCGGAAGCCGAUCCGUCCGACCCCCUGGUCAUGGAAAUCGCGGCAGACCCCGCGGUGGGGGCCGACUCCCCGACUGACUGGAGAGCCCCAUACCUCGACUACCUCAUCCGCGACGCGCUCCCGGCAGACAAGACGGAGGCCCGUAGGAUCGCGCGCCGCGCCAAAUCCUUUGUCAUCAUCGACCGGGAGCUCUACAAGAGAAGCCACACUAGGAUCCUCCAGCGCUGCAUCCCGAUCGAACAGGGAAAGGCGCUGAUUCAGGAUAUCCACGUCGGAGCCUGCGGUCACCACGCCGCGCCAUGGACCCUCGUUGGCAACGCCUUCCGACAAGGUUUCUACUAGCCGACCGCGGUCGCUGACGCUACCCAGGUAGUCCGCACCUGUGAGGGGUGCCAGUUCUUUGCGCGCCAGUGCGCGCCAGACUCACCUGCCCGCGCAAGCGCUGCAGACCAUCCCCAUCACGUGGCCGUUCGCGGUCUGGGGGCUGGAUCUCGUCGGACCCUUCAAGAAGGCACCCAGGGGCUUCACCCACCUACUUGUCGCCGUCGACAAGUUCUCCAAAUGGAUCGAGGCAAAACCGGUGGCGCAAAUCAGGUCCGAGCAGGCGGUACAAUUCUUCACCGACAUCAUCCACCGCUUCGGGAUCCCAAACUCCAUCAUCACCGACAACGGCACGCAAUUCACCGGGAAGAGAUUCCUCCAGUUCUGCGACGACCACCAUAUCCGAGUGGACUGGGCGGCCGUGGCGCACCCCCGCAUGAACGGGCAAGUCGAGCGAGCCAACGGCAUGAUACUCCAGGGUCUCAAGCCACGGAUCUUCGACCGCCUUAAAAAGUUUGGCGGACGGUGGGUUGCCGAGCUCCCCGCAGUCCUUUCGAGCCUGAAGACGACCCCCAGUCGAGCGACGGGCUUCACCCCGUCUUCAUGAUUUACGGGUCCGAGGCCAUCCUGCCCACCGAUCUAGAAUACGGAUCGCCAAGGGUCAAGGCAUACGACGAACAAGGGAACCAGGCAUCGCUCGAGGACGCACAAGAUCAACUCGAUGAGGCGCGAGACGUAGCCCUGCUGCACUCGGCUAGAUAUUAGCAGGCCCUACGAUGUUACAAGAGUCAUAAGGUGCAAGGCCGAGCCUUCAACAUCGGCGACUUGGUGCUCCGCCUCGUCCAGGACAACAGGGGUCGGCACAAGCUAACUCCCCCACCUACAAGCUGGCGACUCCCGACGGGCAGAUCUUCAGCAACGCCUGGAACAUAAAACAGCUAAGGCGCUUUUACCCAUAGCUCUUAUUUCCAAGUUCUGCACAAACUUGUCUGCAAUUUCGAUAAUUUUCUUUUUUGCGGAAAAAGAAACCCCAAGCCGUCUCGGUUCAGGCUUUUCCCGUCAAGCUCAGGGGUAUCCGACCCUGACCUUGUUCCAGGGCCGCAUACCCCUCGGGGGCUAUCAGGGGCUCCGUCCCCAGCCACUUGGCACCAUCUAAAAGAAACGUUUUUUCUUUCAAACCGAGCCCCCCUUUCUAGACUUUUUGGACGCAAAAAAGAAAAGAAUGCGCGAACGGUGCUCAGGCAAGAUUGAUCGGACUGCGAAAAGACCUACGCCCCAGCGGCUACGGCACCUUCACUCAUCAAAGCUUACUGACACACCCGACAACAUAUUCGAAAACUUUCAAGCCCAAAGGAACAGUAAAGGGGAUCGGAAACUUUCGCACGGCAAAGUUAUAAACAGGCCCAUAUGGCCAUCGCGAAACAAGUUCGAAAUUGACAUAGUUACAAUUUGGGCGCAAGCCCGGUACAGCUAACUUGACGGGGGGUCUGCAGGAGGGACGGCCUCUUCCUCCAGGAGCUUCGCGAGGGCCUCAGCCGGGGUGAACACCGCUGCAUCAAUCUCGUCCAGCUCGGCCUCGGAGUAACCGGCGGCGUACCCCUUGCUCAUCCCGGCAAAGUUGAUGCCGGAAUAGUGGGAGCCGAAGACUCCGAAGGCUCACCGCACACCGGUGUGAAGCGUGUCCACAGCAAUCUCGCGACUCCGGCGGCGCACCCCAAGGACACGAGCCGGCAGAGAGCUCGAUCCCUCCUCUGGAACCACGCCGAAGCUGUCACAGACGACGCGGACCGCAUCCCGCAGGGCGUCGUGCUCACUGCGCUCCGCGUCGAGCAAGCCCUUCAACUUGGCGAGUUCGCCUGCAGGAAUCAUCCAAAAAAGCCCACCAAGUCAAGAACAAACCACAACACCACGGGAACGCGGGAACGGAAAGGAGACUCACCGUCGACCCAGGCCUUCAGCUCGCGCUCCCGGUCGGCUCCUUGAGACACGGCGGUCUGGAGUCCCUGCACUUGCGAACAGAGGUUACCGGCCUCCGCGCCGAGGUCAGCUGCCACCUUCUCGGCCUCCUCCUUCUUGGCCCUCUCGGCGACCCGGUCCUGCAAAGCCUGGUGCCGCUCGCGCCGGAUGCACUCGACAGUCUUCUGGAGGGCUUCAUGCUCCCCCCGCAGCCGUGCAAGCUCCUCAGCGUCGUGGCGGGCCCUCUCAGCGGCAGCCUGGAACUCCUCGUGGUCAAGACGGGCCUUGUCGAUGACGGCUUGGAGCUUGGCCUCCGAUCGCCGCGCCUCCUCCAGCGCCGUCCUCCCACGCCUUUGCAGGUCGCCGAUGACCCCCUGGGCGGCAGCGACCUGCAUAGACAGCUCCCUGGUGUGCUCCCUCUCCAUGUUAAAGCGCUCCCAGAGCCCCCGCUCUAGCCGGAGGAAAUCGGAUUUCCCCCGACUGCACUCUUGGAGGGUCCGCAAAGCAACGUGCCAUCAGGGACAAAGCAAUGGGAGAUGAUGAAAACCAACAGGAGAAGCAACCUACCUGGUUACCCGGGAGAACGGUGUUGUCCAAAGCCCCCAACGCCGAGGACAGAGCCGCGCGGGCGUGGGCGAGGCCACCCUGCACCGCCUGCCACUUGUGCCACUCCGCGGCGUCGUCCAGGGUGAAGAGGUGUCUCGGCGGGUCCUCACGAGAUGCCCAGCGAAGGACAGACCCUCUCCACACCCUGGGAAUGGGGGGAGCCGAGGCCGAGCUGGGAGCCAAUCCUGACGCUGCCGUCAAGGUCGGCACCAUCACACCGGAAGCCGCCAGGUUCACCGACGGCCCCGGCGCCUGCACACUCGUCGCCGCUGAGGCCGCCGCGGGGUCGCCCAAUGGCGGCGCCGCCUCCGACGCAGGCGGCAAGAUAGGUAUCCCCGCGGCUACCUCACCCUCCGCCGCAACCACCAGGGGAGGCUCCUCCGCUCCUGCCGGAGUCCCCCGAGCGGGCCCCUCCGCCUCCGCCGCCGGAGCCACUUCCACUGGGAUGAUCGGGGCGGAGGUCUCCGCCUCCGUCACCGUUGCCUCCUCCGUCGCGGUCUCAGGGGCAGGUGCCCCCUCCGCCGCCGAUCCCGACACAGCUGCGGGGGCAUCCGCCCCACCUCCCGUCGCCGUCGUCCCCUCCGCCUCGUCGGCGUCAAGGUCAAUCACCUCCCCGGCCUGAGGACCCGGGGGGAUGAUGCCCUGCGCUGUAGGGGCAACCGGGGGAACCGAAGACGGAAUAGAGUCCGCUCCCCCUCCCGCGGCCGACGCCGCCGUCGCUUCGCCAGCCGCCGUCACCAGGGCCGCCUCCACGGAGGGGUUUGCGGCCUCACCAAGGACCCCGCCGCUCGCCGCGGGCGGGACCACGGUCCGCCCCCCGGAGGAGGAUGACGCUCGCAAUGCCUUCUUAGGCGCUAGCUGCAGGACGAGGCCACGAGGAGCGGCGCUGCACGUCAACGAGCAAACGUAAGCAGGAACGAACGCAAGAAGGAGAGAGGAACGAGACGCAAGGAAGGCCAACUUACGUUCUUGAAGCGCAGGGAUGGCGCGCGCGCUUCACCUCGGAGCCCGACGCCGACCCCGGGGCAUCCGGCAGCGGCCGCUUGUCGCCGCUUCGCCGCCCUCCAGUCUCGGGCGCGACGGUGGAGGCGGUCUCCGCGGACCCCCGGGGAACGCCCUGGGCGGACUCCUGGGGGGCACCACACGCUGGCUCCAGAGCAGCGGCGGGGGCAGGCUCCGAAGACCCCCGAGGGGCGCUCCGCGCCGGCUCCAGGAAGGAGCCCUGUGUAGACCCCUGGGGGGCACCCCUCGCCGACCCCUGGGGAGCGUCCCGCGCUGGCCCCUGGAAGACGCCCCGCGCCGACCCCUGGGGAGCGUCCCGCGUCAACUCCUGGGGGGUGCUCCGUGCCGACCCCUGGGGCGCAGCCCUAGGGCCUUGCGGAGCCAAGGCCCGAGCGGACGCCUCCUCCGCUUCACCCCCCGCGGCCGUCCACGAGCGCACCUCCCGGAUUACAAGUGCGCCUGAUCGGAGGGAGGAAAUCAGCUCCUCCUCUUCAUCAUCUUCCUCAUCUUCAUCCUCUUCAUCAUCAUCGUUGUCGUCAUCGUCUUCAUUUGACACGACCGGCCCCCUCCAUCGCCGUUGGAACUCCUUGGCGGCCUUCUUCCUCUUCUUCGCCGUCUCCUUGUCCUUACGACGCUUCUGCGCCUCGGCAAGGAGACGGUUGCGCAUCCGCCGUUCAGCGUCCUCCGGCACCGGCGGGAGCGAGUCCACGACCCGGGACAGCACGCCCUACGAACGCAAACGGCCCCAUGUCAGAAUGACAAACGCAAGAUGAAAAGAACGGAGGUCGACUCCCCAACCCCUUACCAGGUCUUUGAAGCCCGCGUCCGGGCGCAUCGGCGGGUGCCUGGGAAUCGGGUACUCGGCGUCCUUGUCCUCCAGCGCCUCCCAAAUCCGUUGCCGGAUCUCGGAGGCGGCAAGCGCACCUGCCGCCAAGGUGGUGCCCUCGGUCGGCGCGUCGGGAGUCAUGGCGGCAAGCGGGCGGACCCGGAGCAUCAACGGCGCCACUCGCCGGGCAUGGUACGCCCCAAUGACCCCGGCGCCGCUAAGCCCGCUCCUCUUCAGCCGCUCGAUGGCCUGCAGCAGGUCGGAGAUCCGUUUCUUCUCCUUCUCCACCAGCCCGUACGCCCACACCUCCGGCGCCACGUUGAUGGUGCGGUCGGUGAACCCCGGCAGGGGGGAGUCCGAGUAGUUCUUCACAUAGAACCACUGGUUGUGCCACCCUUUGUGGGACGCCGAGGUCUUCAUCGCCAUAUACUCCUUGGAGCGACUAUGGCGGAGGUGGAUCCCGGCGCACCCAAUCGGCACCGGAGGCGACCGCUGCUGGCUCCCCCUCUUCUCCGUCUUCUGGUACAAACUCACUGUGAAAAAGUACUUCCACAGCGAGAAGUUGGGCUCGAUGCCCAGGAACCCCUCGCACAGUGCGACGAACGCCGCAAUAUGCUGGAUCCCGUUGGGAUUGAGGUGCUGGAGCUCGAGCCCGUAGUAGUGGAGGAGCCCCCGGAAGAAGCGGCUCGGGGGAGAAGCGAACCCCCGCUCAUGGAAGUGAGCGAAGGAGACGACGUAGCCAGGGGGAGGCAUCGGCACUUGCUCCGGCCCCGACAGUUCCCACUCGCCCGCCGCCGUCCUCUCACAGAGGAGGCCUUUCCGCAGUAGGCCCUCGGCGCGCGAGGAGUUGAAAUGGGAGAUCCCCCAAGAACCCAUCGCCGAAGGAGGGGGAAGCUCGACGGAGGUGAGAAGAAAGGGCGCGGCUUGGAGCGGAGGAAGGCGAAGCGGACGCAGGCAAGCUAAGCGCGAGGCUGAAAAACGAAAGGGCUCAAAUGCAGAAGGCAGGCGUAACCAGCGAGGCGGGCUUCCAUUUUUAUAGGAAAGGCGCGGGGGAAGCCAAAUCGACACCCCUGCCGCCAUAAAUGCGGCGCCAGGUACGCCCCUGCCACGCCCACUUCCUUUUCAGAAACUGCGCGCGCGAUCGGCCGCGAAAACAUCCUAUCCUCCUCGAUCCGCGGGACGAUGCUCCCCAUAACUCCGUCUCCUAGAAGGCACGCCCAUGACGUCCCCCACGUUCGGCCCAAACGCAACGACCGCUCCGUUCCGGCCCAAGACCCACCGAAAGGUAAGAAAGGGAUACGGGGCUGAAAAUGCCCCUACGGCCCAUUACGGCCUAGAGGUUCGAAAGCUGGCCCGCCACAGGUUCGACAACCGCCUCAGGACACCCCCCGAGUGAGGGGUGAGAAGGGACGGGUCCGCUAGCGACCAACACCCAGGCGAGCGAAAGCCAAGGGCAUCCCGACCUCACGUUCGAGUCCCGACCGGCAUAAAGUUCAUGGUUUUUCCACAAGGAAAGGCAACGAGCCCCCAGAUCUGGCCGAACGGACCCGGGAACUAUAUGAACUGGCCGGCGGGAGAUCGGAGUACGCCACCAGCUUGGCCCGAGCCGGACCCCCCCGAACGGGGACCGGGACUCCACUCGAACCUACCCGUUCGCAGCUCAAACGAGCACCACGGUUCGUCCAACAAGGAUAACGUGGCACGGCUCAACCCCUCCGUCCUAGCGAACGGACGCUUGAGGGGCAACGAUCAAAAGUCGACCUGGCCUCCCGACCGGUCUCCUGCAACGCGCGGGGGCUCGGGGGCUAGCAUCGCAACCAACGGCCACGCGUGUGGCCACGAUUCGCAGGUUCCCCGGCCAAGCUGGGCUAAAGCAAACGCACCAUAAACAAGAUCUGCGGCAAAACGGCGAAAGAAGCCUCCGGAGGAGCACUUUUGCUCCACCACAGGCUCGGGGGCUACUGUUGGGGGGAAAUAUUAACGAUCUCCUAAAUACCACUUAAAAGAACAAACACGAAGGCCCAGGUCCACCCAGCAUAAUCAAAGCUCCGCCUCGUCCGACCGCGGUCCCAGGGUCGGGAGCGUCCGACCUCCCGCCACGAGGCUCCGCCUCGCCCGACCGCGGUCCCGGGGUCGGGAGCGUCCGACCUCCAGCCGCGAGGCCCCGCCUCGUCCGACCGCGACCCCGGGGUCGGGGGCGUCCGACCCCCCGCCACAAGGUUCCGCCACGUCCGACCCCGGGCACACGGGUCGGACUCGCUGGGGCCCCCAGGAUGGACGUCCCUCGCGGGUGCGGAUCAGGUGGCCAAGGUAACAAUCCCGUGGGUCCCUCUUGUCGACCUCGGCAUAAAUGCGCCGCAGGCCUGGCAGGGAGAAGGAUGACCGCGCUCCUCACGCAACCCACUGCAAGUACCCAUGCACGACUACACUGUACAAACUACAGUGCUGGCGGCUCCCUUCCAUUCGCCGCAGGGUACUCAUGGCCUGCGCCGACUGGAACAGAGGGAAGACUCGCCCAUCCUCGGGCCCCGCGCGCCCUCGGGUCCCGCGCGCCCGGCAGCGGGGAGGUGACGCCCUCUCUCCAGAAGCCAUCAUCAGGACGGUGGCAUCCGCCGUCCUCCCCAACGGACACCGAAGUGACGACGAAACGCCUUCAUCAUUACCCGACGCCUACGAACACCAAAGGGGCUAUCUAUAGGGCGCGACGACAGUUGGCACACGGCCGCCCCCCUCCUCCAGCGUGCACGCCGGCGCUCGUCAGGGGCCGGCGAAGGCGCCGGACGUCUAGGAACUUGUUCCUCCCUUCCUGCCGUAUUUUUACCGUACUACGUUUACACUCUUACUGUCCUCAUCGACCGGUCUCAGCUGUAACUCCGGCCGCCCCCCUUACG
rnacentral:lncRNA from 1 species